AAGCUAUGACGUGGGCACUUUCUCAAUAAGUCCUUAAAUCUCUCCCAAGCUUUAUACAAACUUUCUUGAUCAUGAUGGACAAAUGUCAUUAUCUCAUUGCGCAGUUU
rfam:Jatropha curcas cultivar GZQX0401 scaffold49_86, whole genome shotgun sequence.